GGGCAUUGGCAUUAUCUAUGAUUCUGAUGUUGCUCCAUAUAAUAGAAGAAACAUUUGAGUAAAACAUAUGAAUCCAGCCUUUUCUAUUUAAUAGUUUACUAAUGUUGAGGGUGUUCUUGAGGGUUAGCCAAAAUAAAAAAGACUUUACAUUUGGUUAGAGCAGAAGAUUCCAAAUUGGGGGUGCCAUUAGACAGGUAAUAUCUCCCCUAGUC
rnacentral:lncRNA from 1 species